rnacentral:rRNA from 1 species
GACGAACGCUGGCGGCGUGCUUAACACAUGCAAGUCGAACGGAAAGGCCCUGCUUUUGUGGGGUGCUCGAGUGGCGAAAGGGUGAGUAACACGUGAGUAACCUGCCCUUGACUUUGGGAUAACUUCAGGAAACUGGGGCUAAUACCGGAUAGGAGCUCCUGCUGCAUGGUGGGGGUUGGAAAGUUUCGGCGGUUGGGGAUGGACGCGCGGCUUAUCAGCUUGUUGGUGGGGUAGUGGCGUACCAAGGCUUUGACGGGUAGCCGGCCUGAGAGGGUGACCGGCCACAUUGGGACUGAGAUACGGCCCAGACUGCUACUGGAGGCAUCAGUGGGGAAUAGUGCACAAUGGGCGGAAGCCUGAUGCAGCAUCUCCGCGUGCGGGAUGACUGCCUUCGGGUUGUAAACCGCUUGCGCCUGUGACGAAGCGUGAGUGACGGUAAUGGGUAAAGAAGCACCGGCUAACUACGUG